rnacentral:rRNA from 1 species
GACGAAGGUGGCGAGCGUUGUUCGGAAUCACUGGGCAUAAAGCGCACGUAGGCGGCGACGUAAGUUGGGUGUGAAAUCCCUCGGCCCAACCGAGGAACUGCGCCCAGUACUGCGUUGCUUGAGGAUCCAAGGGGUGCAUGGAAUUCCCGGUGGAGCGGUGAAAUGCGUUGAUAUCGGGAGGAACUCCGGCGGCGAAAGCGGUGCACUGGUGGAUUACUGACGCUGAGGUGCGAAAGCCGGGGGAGCAAACGGG